rnacentral:rRNA from 1 species
UACCAGCACCCCGAGUGGUCGGGACGAUUAUUGGGCCUAAAGCAUCCGUAGCCGGUUCUACAAGUCUUCCGUUAAAUCCACCUGCUCAACAGAUGGGCUGCGGAGGAUACUAUAGAGCUAGGAGGCGGGAGAGGCAAGCGGUACUUAGUGGGUAGGGGUAAAAUCCGUUGAUCCAGUGAAGACCACCAGUGGCGAAGGCGGCUUGCCAGAACGCACUCGACGGUGAGGGAUGAAAGCUGGGGGAGCAAACCGG